rnacentral:misc_RNA from 1 species
GAUGAAGAACGCAGCGAAAUGCGAUAAGUAAUGUGAAUUGCAGAAUUCAGUGAAUCAUCGAAUCUUUGAACGCACAUUGCGCCCGCCAGUAUUCUGGCGGGCAUGCCUGUUCGAGCGUCAUUACAACCCUCAGGCCCCCGGGCCUGGCGUUGGGGAUCGGCAGAAGCCCCCUGUGGGCACACGCCGUCCCUCAAAUACAGUGGCGGUCCCGCCGCAGCUUCCAUUGCGUAGUAGCUAACACCUCGCAACUGGAGAGCGGCGCGGCCAUGCCGUAAAACACCCAACUUCUGAAUGUUGACCUCGAAUCAGGUAGGAAUACCCGCUGAACUUAAGCAUAUCAAUCAGCGGAGGA